rnacentral:misc_RNA from 1 species
AAUAUUUAGGGUUAUUUUGUAAAAUAUAUGGAUAUUUUGUAAUUAAAAAUUUUUUUUAGGGACUUUAAAGUAAUUAAUUAAUAUUUUUAAAGAUCAAAAAGUAGUUAGAUGCUUCUUGGAGUAGCGUCUAAUAGCCAGACACAACUCUAAGUAGCAUCCAUCUAUUUUUUAACAAUUGUUUCUUUUUUAUUUUUUAUUUGUUAGACGCUACCUAUAUUAGCGAAUAACUUUCUCUCUCCUCUAUGUCAAUUAAAACACCUCUUUUUGCUACAUAAUUUUCA